rnacentral:rRNA from 1 species
GGAUGUUAGCGGCGGACGGGUGAGUAACACGUGGGUAACCUGCCUGUAAGACUGGGAUAACUCCGGGAAACCGGAGCUAAUACCGGAUAGUUCCUUGAACCGCAUGGUUCAAGGAUGAAAGACGGUUUCGGCUGUCACUUACAGAUGGACCCGCGGCGCAUUAGCUAGUUGGUGAGGUAACGGCUCACCAAGGCGACGAUGCGUAGCCGACCUGAGAGGGUGAUCGGCCACACUGGGACUGAGACACGGCCCAGACUCCUACGGGAGGCAGCAGUAGGGAAUCUUCCGCAAUGGACGAAAGUCUGACGGAGCAACGCCGCGUGAGUGAUGAAGGUUUUCGGAUCGUAAAGCUCUGUUGUUAGGGAAGAACAAGUGCAAGAGUAACUGCUUGCACCUUGACGGUACCUAACCAGAAAGCCACGGCUAACUACGUGCCAGCAGCCGCGGUAAUACGUAGGUGGCAAGCGUUGUCCGGAAUUAUUGGGGCGUAAAGGGCUCGCAGGCGGUUUCUUAAGUCUGAUGUGAAAGCCCCCGGCUCAACCGGGGAGGGUCAUUGGAAACUGGGAAACUUGAGUGCAGAA